GGGAGAUUAGUAUAAUGGUAGUACUACAGAUUCCAAACCUGUUUGCGUGGGUUCGAUUCCUACAUCUCUCG
rnacentral:tRNA from 1 species